rnacentral:rRNA from 1 species
CCCUUCGAUGUUCUGGGCCGCACGCGCGCUACACUGAUGCGUUCAGCAAGCCUUUAACCUUCACCGAUAGGUGCGGGUAAUCUUCUGAAAGCGCAUCGUGUUUGGGCUAGAUGAUUGCAAUUAUUCAUCUUCAACGAGGAAUACCUAGUAAACGCAAGUCAUCAACUUGCAUUGAUUACGUCCCUGCCCUUUGUACACACCGCCCGUCGCUCCUACCGAUUGAAUGGUCCGGUGAAAUCUCCGGACUGGCGUGAGUCGGAGCAAUCUGACAAACACCGGAAAGUUGAUUAAACCUUACCAUUUAGAGGAAGGUGAAGUCGUAACA